rnacentral:antisense_RNA from 1 species
GUAGCGAACAGAUAACACCGAGUUUCACUGGCCGUCGAAAUAACUUUUCAUCUGUCCGCUGCUAAUGAAGCUGCUUUUUCUUAUUUAACUCCUGUAAUAUUGAUACGCCCAGACCUCUAUGGCCUGGGCGCUUUUUG